GUGAGUCAUCGAAUCUUUGAACGCACAUUGCGCCCUUUGGUAUUCCAAGGGGCAUGCCUGUUCGAGCGUCAUUUCACCCACUCAAGCCUGGGCUUGGUGUUGGGCUAUGCGGCCUGCCGCAGGCCCCAAUGUCCCCCCGGCGGCGUCGUCUGCCUGUUAGCGUUGCGACCAUCAAUUCGCUAGCGAGGCCAGAGGGCUCAUGCCGUUAAAUCAUUAAGCAAGGUUGACCUCUGAUCAGGCAGGGAUACCCGCUGAACUUAAGCAUAUCAAUAAGCGGAGGA
rnacentral:misc_RNA from 1 species